rnacentral:tRNA from 1 species
GGUCACGUAGCUCAAUGGAUAGAGCGUUCGCCUCCGACGCGAAAGGCUGAAGGUUCGACCCCUUCCGUGACCACCA